UGGGGAAUUUUGGACAAUGGGCGAAAGCCUGAUCCAGCAAUGCCGCGUGUGUGAAGAAGGCCUUCGGGUUGUAAAGCACUUUUGUCCGGAAAGAAAUCCUUGGCUCUAAUACAGUCGGGGGAUGACGGUACCGGAAGAAUAAGCACCGGCUAACUACGUGCCAGCAGCCGCGGUAAUACGUAGGGUGCAAGCGUUAAUCGGAAUUACUGGGCGUAAGCGUGCGCAGGCGGUUUGCUAAGACCGAUGUGAAAUCCCCGGGCUCAACCUGGGAACUGCAUUGGUGACUGGCAGGCUAGAGUAUGGCAGAGGGGGGUAGAAUUCCACGUGUAGCAGUGAAAUGCGUAGAGAUGUGGAGGAAUACCGAUGGCGAAGGCAGCCCCCUGGGCCAAUACUGACGCUCAUGCACGAAAGCGUGGGGAGCAAACAGGAUUAGAUACCCUGGGUAGUCCACGCCCUAAACGAUGUCAACUAGUUGUUGGGGAUUCAUUUCCUUAGUAACGUAGCUAACGCGUGAAGUUGACCGCCUGGGGAGUACGGUCGCAAGAUUAAAACUUAAAUGAA
rnacentral:rRNA from 1 species